rnacentral:rRNA from 1 species
AUGAUGUUUGGGAAGUUAAAAGUACAUUUUCAUGACAGAGAUAACCUUGAGAGGACCAUGUGCAUUUCAGACGUAACAAAUCAUAAUCUGAUAGAACUCAUAGAGAUAGAAGGAUAUGGUUCUAGGGAUUAUAUGUGUUUUGUUAGAAAUGUUGGUGUGGGGAUAACAGGAUUGGAAGAGACUAGUGAUGAUGAUAAGGUGGAUGAAAUGCUUAACCAUAUUGCUAAUGAAGAUAAGAAGAUAGUUAACCUCACAGUCACUAGGGUCCCCGAUCCAAGACCCGUUGAUCGAACAGGCCAUUCUACAGGGUGA